GACGAACGCUGGCGGCGUGCUUAACACAUGCAAGUCGAACAGAAAGGCCCCCUUGUGGGGUACUCGAGUGGCGAACGGGUGAGUAACACGUGAGUAACCUACCCUUGACUUUGGGAUAACUUCAGGAAACUGGGGCUAAUACCGGAUAGGAGCUCCUGCUGCAUGGUGGGGGUUGGAAAGUUUCGGCGGUUGGGGAUGGGCUCGCGGCUUAUCAGCUUGUUGGUGGGGUAGUGGCUCACCAAGGCUUUGACGGGUAGCCGGCCUGAGAGGGUGACCGGCCACAUUGGGACUGAGAUACGGCCCAGACUCCUACGGGAGGCAGCAGUGGGGAAUAUUGCACAAUGGGCGGAAGCCUGAUGCAGCAACGCCGCGUGCGGGAUGACGGCCUUCGGGUUGUAAACCGCUUUCGCCUGUGACGAAGCGUGAGUGACGGUAAUGGGUAAAGAAGCACCGGCUAACUACGUG
rnacentral:rRNA from 1 species